CGGCAGCUGGAGCUCUGGAUUCGAGGAAGGGAAUGGCUGUUCUACCCCACGGCGGUUGUCCCUGCUUUUGUAUCCACGUCCGGGAAUCCUCGCUGUGAGGGGACUUGCCCUCGAUGAUGAACGGAACCCUGGAACUACCAACUGAAAUAAAUCUUCCCUCCCUACGUUGCUUCUGGUCAAGGCGUUUUAUCACAGUAACAGACAUGAAAUUGGGACACCACCUAAGUCCAGCUUGUGCAGGGGCAUGAAGGAAAGAAUGCAAUCACAUCUGUGCUAAAGAGCCCCUCCUGGGAUCCCAAACUUGGAGCUCUUGGGAAGGACAUGCUAGAAGAACGUAGAAGAAAGUAAGGAAAGUGGGUCUGCGUGUGGUGUGGUGUGAAGGACGUGAGCUGAGCAGGAGCUUUGGUGUUGGUGUUGGCUUUUGUGGCAUGGCUGAGCCCUGAUGACCAUGGUCAGGUAGAAGAGGCUCUGUGGACCUCAGUGACUGCAGUCAACAUACAAGUUGAGUUGUAAAGUGUUAAAGCAAUCAAGAGCAGAUGAGAAAAA
ensembl:processed_transcript uncharacterized LOC110317585